rnacentral:rRNA from 1 species
GUGUCAGCAGCCGCGGUAAUACGAAGGGUGCAAGCGUUAAUCGGAAUUACUGGGCGUAAAGCGUGCGUAGGCGGUGAUUUAAGUCUGCUGUGAAAUCCCCGGGCUCAACCUGGGAAUGGCAGUGGAUACUGGAUCGCUAGAGUGUGAUAGAGGAUGGUGGAAUUCCCGGUGUAGCGGUGAAAUGCGUAGAGAUCGGGAGGAACAUCAGUGGCGAAGGCGGCCAUCUGGAUCAACACUGACGCUGAGGCACGAAAGCGUGGGGAGCAAACAGGAUUAGAUACCCUGGUAGUCC